rnacentral:ncRNA from 1 species
UACCUUGACUGUACUACGUGAAGCAUGCUAGGCCAGUACUACCUGUUGCUUGUCUUUUGUACUUCGUUUCCGUGUACCUUCUGGUUGUGAUUGGCGAGUCAUCAGCUCGCGUUGACUACGUCCCUGCCCUUUGUACACACCGCCCGUCGCUCCUACCGAUUGAAUGAUCCGGUGAAAUGUUCGGAUCGCGGCGACGUGGGCGGUUCGCUGCCCGCGACGUCGCGAGAAGUCCAUUGAACCUUAUCAUUUAGAGGAAGGAGAAGUCGUAACAAGGUUUCCGUAGGUGAACCUGCGGAAGGAUCAUUG